AGCGAACGCUGGCGGCAGGCUUAACACAUGCAAGUCAAGCGGGCACUUCGGUGUCAGCGGCAGACGGGUGAGUAACACGUGGGAACGUACCCUUUGGUUCGGAAUAACGCUGGGAAACUAGCGCUAAUACCGGAUACGCCCUUUUGGGGAAAGGCUUGCUGCCGAAGGAUCGGCCCGCGUCUGAUUAGCUAGUUGGUGGGGUAAUGGCCUACCAAGGCGACGAUCAGUAGCUGGUCUGAGAGGAUGAUCAGCCACACUGGGACUGAGACACGGCCCAGACUCCUACGGGAGGCAGCAGUGGGGAAUAUUGGACAAUGGGCGCAAGCCUGAUCCAGCCAUGCCGCGUGAGUGAUGAAGGCCUUAGGGUUGUAAAGCUCUUUUGUCCGGGACGAUAAUGACGGUACCGGAAGAAUAAGCCCCGGCUAACUUCGUG
rnacentral:rRNA from 1 species